rnacentral:rRNA from 1 species
UAAUCACUUGUCUCUUAAAUGGGGACCUGUAUGAAUGGCUUUUCACUCUUUCACUGUCUCUCUUCCCUCCCUCCUAAUCUUCUAAUCACGUGAAGAAGCGUGAACAAAUAAGAAAGACGAGAAGACCCUGUCGAGCUUAAGCUAACCCUGAAAUGUCGUCUACCUUUUUUCUUAGAAAGAGGUAAAUUUCAGAUAAAGUUUUGGUUGGGGCAACCGUGGAGAAAAAGAAUCCUCCAGUUAAUUAGGAAGAAAACCUUUCACCUAAAAAAUUUAGCGACCCAGUUACUCUGGUAAACGGAAAAAGUUACCGCAGGGAUAACAGCGUUAUCUUCUCUAAGAGCCCAUAUUGACGAGAAGGAUUGCGACCUCGAUGUUGGAUUGGGGUAACC